GGUCAGAAUAUUGGGAGGACAGAAGCAAGAGAGAAACUGGAGAUCAGAACAAAGAGUCAAGAACCAGAGUCAGGCCAGAUCAGGAUACCACGGGGUCAGUGGCAGGAGCCAAACUGUGCCAAGAAUCACAAGUCAGAUGCCAGGAGUCAAGCCAGGCUCAGCUGCUGGGACCCAAGUUCAAGAUUCUGUGUUUCCCUGGCAACAGGUGAUGACAUCACAAGAAGCUAAGCAAAACAUAGUCCUGCAGUGCCCCCUGGGCUGCUGUCAUGUUAUCAGUGGCUGCUGAAGACACAUGGAGACAGAUGACUAAAGGAGGAAGUUACCCAAAAUUUAAAAUAUCUUUUCUUUAAAAGAAAGGUGUGGGGGAGAGAGAGGUUAGUUCUAAGGCCUCACACUGGUUCAUUCAUGAAGAUCACUUUCCAAUGCUUUAGAACCACACAGCAGUUAAAAAAGAAGAAGAAAAAUGAAAAAAAAAUUCCUGAGGCAGCAGCCACAUCAUCUUUGCCUGCAGAACCCCACCCCUACAAAUUCAAAACAUUGCCAUGGUGACAAAUUUCAGCUGAGCCAUGUUCCCAAACCAUAACCAGACAAACAAAAGUGUUUGUGGGGAACUGUAAAGGAGCACAUGACCUAUAGCCUUUGCAAGGAUUAAGGACCUAAGAAUGAGGGAAGCAGCACCCUUUCCUUCCUCCUCCCUCUGCCGUUAAGUUGUCAUCGGGGGAAUCAUCCCUAUGUUUUGAACCUACUUAGAGACUGUCAGACCUGGAGCAGUACAAUUGCCAUUUGAUAGCCAAAUUCAGAAUAGCACAAACCCGAAACAGAAAGACAAAGCACCAUGCUCCCCAAGGCAGAGAGGCACAGCCCAUCCCUCCUUAUUCUAGGCUGUCUGUUUGCUGACUGACUGCUUCUAGGACCUGAUUGCGUACUUCCUUACAGAGCCCCUAGCUUGCAAGCAGGGCCCGGAAAACCACGGAGGAUUUAAAGGUGGACAGGGACCUGAUUCUUAAUACUGGACAACAGAAUCAGAGUGGUAUAGUCUUCACUCGCCAGUCAGGGGACACUGUGUGACUGAAUCUGCUCAGUUAGAAGCUAACUGGAGAUGGAUGCGGUGCAGAGCAGUGAUGAAGCAGAGAAUAAUGACACGUUGCCCUCUGGCUGGCAAAAGCCCUGAUGACUGCAGAGAAAAGCUUGAAAAUGCAACCCUAAACAUUCCAACACGAGAAGGAAAAUGAAAAGAACCCAAAAGAUACCUGUAGAAAAUGAGAUGGGCGUCUCAGCCCAGUUCUUAGUGAAACGGAUGUCCUCAUAAGACAUACAACAAAUGGCCUCCUUGAUCUUGAAGUAUAAGAACUAGAAGAAACUCAGCAAGAAGCUGACUGAGACCUUAUGUAUCCUUUUCAUUUAUUUUAAUUAUAAAAUCAAUGUAGUGCUGGUGAAAGAGCCAGACUGGCAGGCCCUGAAGAAUGAAGUCCUCUAUUUUUACUGGACACAACAGGUGGAAUAUGGGCUACAACACUGCAAGUUUCAUAAGCCACUGCCAGUGUGCUUCAACCCUAUCCCAGAGGGACCAUGUGCCCCGACCCGUCUCCUGAGAUUGUCAGUUUUGAUGGUGGGUCUUUUGGGCUAUGUAUCUCAGUCCUACCAGGGAAAGAAGUAAGAAUCACCAACUUGUUUUAUGCAGUCCUCCAAACAACCGUCAGAUGCCUCUCACGGAAAGUCUCUCCCAACCUUUAGCUAGACUGAAACCAAAGACCUUGUGGUAAUAAACCCUAUUGCAUUCCCAAUCUCCUAAUCUGCAUAGUGCCCUGAAGAGCCUUUCUUAAAAGAUCAUGAAGUUUAAUACAUUAUUGAGCAGAUCUGAGCUACUUUUCUACUUUCUCUCUGCCAGAUUUCAGUGUUGAUUUUUCACUCUUAGUGGGGACGAUUCAGUGCAACCUCAAUGACUGUUGAAGAUAUAAGAUAUGUGAAAAGGAGAGAGAAGGAAGACAUCCAGAUGCAAUAAAUCGAUCCUCGAACGCGCUCCCCGUCGAUUCCAGAACUCCACCAGAACGAGAGGCGGAAGUAGAGUCGACAGGGAAGCCGUGGCCAUCGAUCCUGCGCCGUGAGGACGGGAGUUUAAACUGAAUUAGCUGACCAAGCUUGUCCUCUACAACCAGAUCUUCCAUGAGGUCCUCGCCAUUUUAGUUUUGGAACAUGUGCCUUUUUACCUUGAGCCCACAGAAGCACUCUCCUAAAUUGACUGAGCUGCAAUGCGCACUGGGUAUGUAUCCCACAGUUCCUAGAACAGCUCUCCAGCGUACUGCACUCUGAAAGGUUUUCAGUGAGCAUUGCAUGAUACCUCCAGAAGCCCAGGCAAAUUGUGGGAGAAAGGGGUUCAAACUCAUACUGUCCCCCAUGAAACACCUGGAAUUCCCUUGUGGAUGUAUCCCAGAAUCUCUUUGGUGCAGUCUUUCUCAAACCUCCAAAAAAUCAUUACACAGCUGAGUGUGGAACUCCCUGUCCUCCUUAUACAGGUUCAUUUCACAGAGCCAUAAAUAGGCAUUUUAGCAGCUGGGGCGACCUAGAAUAUUUGCACCCCCUACCGUUUUUGUUUUUUCAUCAUUUUUUGCCCCAUUUUUCUGCCCCUGCAGCUUUUCAGCUGAGCAGCUGCCCCCCACCCUGGUUAUGGCCUUGUCAUUUCAUGC